rnacentral:lncRNA from 1 species
GUCACUUCCGCCCCGCCGUGGCCGAAACUGACACAAAGUAGCGGGCCGAGGCCGGGGGGGAGCUGGGCCACAGCUGGGGGGGCGGGCGCCCGCGGGGAGCUGAGCCGAGCGCCCCCCGCCCCAGCCCCGGCCUGGGCAGGAUGGGGCCGCCGGGGCGGGCGCCGGGCGCCGAGCGCUGAGGUGAGGCGAGCCGGGGCGAGCCGGGGCACCCCGAGCGCGGGGCGGAGGGCAGGGGGAGAUGCGGCUGCGGCCGCGACCCGGGGCCGGCGGCGGCGGUGGAGGCCGGGGGGCCGGAGGGGUUUGGGGAGCCGGAGUGUGGAGCCGCGAGGGCGGGCGCCGGGAGUGCGGAGCUGCGGGGAGACCCGCAGGGCGAGCGGCGGGAUGGAGAAAAGGGGUGUCGGCUGCCGAGGGUGGGGAGACCCGAGGCUGUCCGCAGGCUGGGAGGAUGGGGUGCCCAGGUGGCGCGUGGAGAGCAGGGAAGGCGCAGAGUGCCGAGGAAAGGCCGACCCGAGAGGCGAGGGCCGCUGGGGAGUUGGGGUGAGAAGAGUGACCGGGCUUAGGGAAGGGAGUUCGGACUGCUAGGUUUUGUCUCUGGAAGGUGGAGGUCUGUGUGCCUGAGGAAAACCAAGGGUGCCAGAGGGGUGGUAGCUAGCUGUGAGUCCUUUGUUACUGCCCUUGGCGAGGGAAGGUGGCCCAGGGCGGUGGUGAUGCAAGAGAGCUGGGGGUCUUGGAUUCUAGAUCUUCCUGUUUCCCUGACCCACCAGCCUCCUCCAAAAGGAGUCUUGGUUGGAAGGCAGCAGAAGCCAGACCUAGAGGAGGAGCGGUUUUCCCCCUAUGGAGCAUUGCCUCUUUCCUAGGGUUGGCUAUUUUUAUCCCAGAUGUGGCUGCAGAGGGGGCUGGGGCUGGGGCAGGGCGACGGGGCAGGGCGACGUGGCUGAUGGGCCUGACCAGUUCAGACAACCCAGGCUGUGUGAGACUGGGAAGGAGAAGUGAGAAGGGGUCCCUGUUGCCAGCCAUCUCCCUCCCUCUCCCUUCCUAUGACUGCCCCCAGAGGGGAUGGGAUCUGGGGCCAAGUGCGCUUUUUCUCUCCCCAGGGUAUUAGAGGUAAAACAACUUUCCUGAUCCAAGUCCAGACUCCUGACUCCUGGCUGCCCAGCUCCUUCAUUAACUCUUCCAUAGGCUGCAGACCCAGAUCUUUGGACCUGCAGUGUUUCUUGCUCACUCCCUCCCCAGGGUCCUGGCUGGCUACUGAACCUAUGAUGCCCACCAUGCGUCCUCUUCUUUAACCUCUCCCUGCAUACCCCACCCUUCAUGACUCAUACUCUAGACUGGGUGGAGACCCUGGCUGGGGGCCCUAGAAGAGGACUUGGCAUCUCUAAAAUGUGGAUGAAGUUUUUCUUCCUGAGCCAGGCACCCUUGCCUGCUGCAGUUGGGGAGGAUCAGGGAUGAAAAGGACUUCUGCUCUUGGUAUUGCCUGGUCUGGGGUCAGGAAGGGAGUGUGUGCUAGUGAAGGGAGAAUUGGUGGCCAGAGUCUGCAAUUAUAGAGGUUGGGCAGACAGGCAAUUAGUAUCUCUUGGGGCUGACAGGCUGGUGGGUGUGCCCAUAGGCUGCAGGCAGGGGAACCAAAGAGGAGGUGGAAGGCUAACCCUUCCACCCAGACAAAAAAAGAGGAGGUUACUGACUGGCAGCUUUUUUUGGACCAGGCUGGAGAAUAGGGUUGAGGCUCUGUGAGCCUGUCUUGUAGGCCAGGCCUUAUGCCUUUUUAGGAAAAAGAAAGGACACAGGAAGGUGGAAGGAAGCAGAGACUUGUGUGACUGAUGCUCCUUGGCCUGCACUGAGCUUCAGGCUGAUUGGACUAGGCACAGAGUGGGAGAGAGCAGGGGUGACUCUCUGACAGGAUAGGAAGACCCCUCUGCUGGCCCAGAAGGGUGGCUGACCCAGAUUGAGAGGAAGCGGUUUGGGGAUUGUCUGUGCAGGAAGUGAAGGCCAUGCGUCUAAUGUGAACUCAAUGUGGAGGAGGUGAUAAUGGAAACCCCAGUAAUGGGGUGAGCUGGGGGAAUGAUGAGCAUUUUGAGAAGGGUGGAGCCUGCCCACCCUAUUUCCUGAUGCCCUGCCAGGUGCUUCCUGGCUGUGUUCCCUCCACCCCACCCUUUUGGGGAUAUUCUGCUUUCUAGUACAUGAACAACUCAUUGCCACCAGGAAUACAGUCACCACACAUUGUCAUCAGGAAUAUAGGCACACAUUGUCUGUCAGCAGGGGAGCACAUGAAGCAUCUAUGGUACCUUGAAAGCUGUGCUUUUUUUUUUUUGUACCUGUAUUAACCCAGGGGCAUUUAACCACUGAGCCACAUCCCCAGGCCUCGAUCCCCCUUUUUAAGAAAGGGAAUCCAGCAGCUUGUAAUCAUUAUUUUUUUAAAGAAGAUGGACACAAUACCUUUAUUUUACCCAUUUAUUCAUUUUUUAAGUAUGCUGAGGAUUGAAGCCAGUGCCUCACAUAUGCUAGGUAAGCGCUCUACCACUGAGCUACAACCCCAGCCUCCAAGCCCUUUUUAAUAUUUUAUUUAGAGACACGGUCUUGCUGAGUUGCUCAGGGCCUCCCUAAAUUUCUGAGGCUGGCUUUGAACUCCUGAUCAUCCUGCCUCAGCCUCCUGAGCUGCUGGGAUUCCAGGCACGUGCCACUCGCUCGCGUGAAGCUGUGCCCUUCUUACCUGGCCUAUUCUCCUAGACCCCUUUCCCACAGGCCUUGACUUCUGUAAACUCUCAGUUCUUCCCUCCUUCCAUGUUAUCCAAAGCAGAAGGGAUGGCCUCUUUUCUCAGGUACUGGACAGGGCAGAAAGACGAGAGUGUUGGUUGGGAGGGAUGGAGGGGUCAGGAUCAGUGCUGGAGAAGAGAACCUUCAGGAAGGGCCUAAUGAGGGGAAUAAAGGGUUACCCUCAGCUUCCUGACCACACUCAUGUAUCACCUUCCUACAGGGUCUCCCAUGGGAUUGCUGGGACCUUGCUGGGUGAGAUGGCACUGUGUGCAAAAAAGCGACCCCCAGGUAAGAAAGGCAAGAAGUGGGAAUCCCUGGGAAUUUAGACAAGAGUGAGUGUUAUUAUGGCUCAGGGAGUCAGGAGAAGAGGGACAGCUGGCAUGGAUCUGGGAAAGGGGAGAUCAAGAUCCCUACGCAUCCCGGGAAGAGCCUAGGAAACACAAUUUUUUCGUUUGAUGCUUGAGCUGGGUUCUCUGCUGGGAUAGUGCUGAGUACCAGCCCCCACCCCACCCCCGCCCCGAAACACCUGCUCUCUUUUCUUGGGGCACCUGCAGCUGCUACUUUCUGGCCUGGGAAGCCCCUGUCUCUUCCCCCACAGGGUCCUCUUCCUUUUCCUUCGGGUAGGGAGGGAAUGAAACGGUUGCCCCCAACAACCGCGGCAGCCCGCUCACCAACAUCGGCCCUGGACGGGUGCGGGGCGCGGAGAGCGGAGGCGGGGUGCGCUCGGGCUGGCUGUCGCCUACGCGGCGAGCUGGCAGGCUGCUGCCCCUGCAGUCGGGGAGCGGGAGGGGGCGGGGAGCGGGAGGGGGCGGAGCCCGGGGCGUGCGCACCGCAUCCGGGGCCACUCAGCGCAUGCAGUCCUUUGCUGGGGGCUUCGGGGGCGGCGCAGCUGAGCUCACGGAGUUCCCGGGCGGUGCGCCGGUGCCCGUGAGGAUGGCCUGGGUUGCGGGUGGCAUGCUCGCCGGUGGGCCCGGGCUCACUUGUAAGCGGCAGCGGCACUUGCGCCUCCCUGGGGGGCCGCCCCGUAGGCGCCGCUGAGGCCAAGAACUGACAGUACGCUCUCCCCACUCAAACCCGGAUCAUGACGGUCCCCAAGGAGAUGCCCGAGAAGUGGGCCCGGGCCGGGGCACCACCCUCUUGGAGCCGAAAGAAGCCUUCUUGGGGGACAGGUAACGGGAGGCAGCAUCUUGCAGCUCUCCCGAGCCCAUAAUUUCCUCCUCUCCAAUCCCUAUAUUCCCUUGUCCUGUGCCUCCCCAGUCUUCCCCCAUCCUCUUUCUAGACCCAGAGAUCCUGGCUCUAAAGUGUCGAGUCCCUACCUCCUUCCUUUGCAUGGCCUCUGGUGAUUGCGUAGGGUCUCAGCACGAGGAGGCUUCUCUAGGGGAAGUUUUUGGGAAUAAAGUGGCUCAGUAGGCUGGCGACACUGUGGCCUGAGAUUUUGUUACUGCAGUGUGCUCUGCAAGGGUCUUGGGGGAAGGGGCCUGGAACACUGCCUUUGGCUUUCUUGCAGGUUUAAGACAUUAGGUUUAUAGUCUGGUCAAAUCCCCCCUCCCCUUACAGCAUGAGAUCAAAGUGACCCCUGGAAUGUGGGGAACCCUUCAUAGGACAUUCCCUUGUUCUGGAACCUGAACUUGGUGGUUGCAGUUGGGAACCUGCAAGGGGUAGCUAAAUAGAUGUCACUGAGUGAGCAGUUUAAGGGAAACAUGUAGAUGGUACAGAAAAGGUUACAGUUAGAAAGCAACUGUUUCCAUUACAUCUCAUUCCUCUCUCUUGCAUCUCUGCUUCAGUCUGCAUGACCCAUAUCCCUGACUCCCCCACCUUCUUCUACUUGAAGAUGAGCUUUGAAAUAAGGUGAUGUCAUUGUUGGCCAGUCAGAAGCUGCUGCUGGUGACAUGUGACAACCAGAGGCUCCUGUAGGGGGACUGCACGUGGGGCUGGGAUGUUGCCGCAGAGCAGCUCCAGGGCAGCAGAGCAGCUCCAGGGCACAGUGACCCUCUGUCUUGCCACUCCCCACUUCCACCCCAUUAGUCCCCAGUGUAGGGGGAGAGCAGCAGUCCCAUGGUUAGAUCUGCAGUAGUUUCUAGGGGGAAGGAUGCUUUCUUUGUGUCUUCAGCUGCUACUCCUUGAUUAUGAUGAUAGCAGCCAAAGGGUCUGGGGACUCCAUGACCAUCAAUGGCUAAGGCUCUUCCAGAAGGGGAGGACAGAAGAACUGAGUGCUCCCAGUAGAAGAUUAUUGGUGGUGAGGAAGAGAACCUAUCCUGUCCUUUGAAUGUAACUUGCAGAACCAUGUGGUUAUGCUGUUGGUGCAAGCUGGACUAGAGGGAAGAAUUUAAUGACACCUCAGGUGUGGAGCUAAUGCCAUAAAACUAUUUGGUGAAAAGAAACAGGGACCUUUGGUGGAAUGUCCAUAAAGUAGGAUGGACCUGACAAGGUGGGGGUGCAGGCCUCAGUUUGCUGUUCCUAACUGUAGCAUCAUUCUGUUGUAGAAGAAGAAAGGAG